CGCUGUGAGGCGUUGAGCUAACCUGUACUAAUUGCCCGUGAGGCUUAACCAUACAACACCCAAGGGGUUU
rnacentral:rRNA from 1 species